rnacentral:rRNA from 1 species
AUGAAUGAAAAUAUUGUACAAUGGCGGUUCACUGGCUUUUAUGGUCGUCCGAACUGGAACGAUCGCAGUUUAUCUUGGGAAGACAUUCGUAAUCUGCAUCGCAAGGGGAACCAUCCUUGGGUAAUUUUGGGGGAUUUCAAUGAAAUAUUAUAUACUUCGAAGAAAGAGGGUGGUAAUAUGAGACCAAAUGGCAUGAUGAGGGAAUUCCAUGAAGGUCUUAUGGACUGUGGGUUGGAGGAUUUAGGAUAUAUCGGCGAUCCCUUUACUUGGAGUAGAGGUGACAUUCGAGAGCGUCUUGACCGUGCAGUGUGCAAUCUAGGGUGGGCUCAUAAAUUUUCUCGUGCGGCUGUGAUUAACGAAGAACAUGUUCACUCUGACCACCGUCCGCUGGUCCUGGAUACGAACUAUCUGGGUGAUAGUAUUUUUAGACGAUCGACGGGGUGUGUAAAACAAUUUGAAGCCAAAUGGCUAAAAGAAGAGACUGUUAAUGAAAUCGUCAAGGCAUCUUGGGAAAAAGCAAAGUUAACAGGCGUUGGUCCUUCCCUUGCUGACCGUACGAAAGCCGUCCAUGCCGAUUUGCACCACUGGGACCGUGAGAUUCUUAAGGGUCCUAAGCGGAGAAUUAAAAAAUUGAAAAAAGAGUUAGAGAGAUUGAGACGUGGUCCAAUGAAUACUGAAUCCCGGUGUCGUCAGAAGGAGAUUAUCCUGGUAAUUGAGAAUCUUUUGGACCAAGAGGAAAUCUUUUGGCUACAAAGAGGGCGUGCGAAUUGGUUGAUGCACAGGGAUCGAAAUACGUCGUUUUUCCAUAACGCGGCCACGGCCAGGAAGAAAAGGAAUAAUAUUAAAAAAAUUACUAGAUGA